UACGAGGGGUGCAAGCGUUGCUCGGAAUUAUUGGGCGUAAAGGGUAUGUAGGUGGUCUCAUUUGUCAGGGGUGAAAGCCUUGGGCUUAACCCAAGAAGUGCCCUUGAAACGGUGAGACUGGAGUCUUGGAGAGGGUCGUGGAAUUCCCGGUGUAGCGGUGAAAUGCGUAGAGAUCGGGAGGAACACCAGCGGCGAAGGCGGCGACCUGGACAAGUACUGACACUCAACUACGAAAGCGUGGGUAGCAAACAGG
rnacentral:rRNA from 1 species